CUCAAGUAGGGCCCAAGCAAGCCAGGAAGGAGGAGGCAGCCAGAGUGUUCUCUGCAGCAGAAGACUCCUUGCUGCCCUGCUCAACCCAGACCAGCAUUUGCCAGGAAGAGACAACAUGGUGAUCCUUCAGCUGUUGAUAUCUCCAUUGGAACUCAUAAUUGUCAUGAGAAGUGAACAGGCAGAUGCCUCUGGGGAUUUCCCAAGCAGAGUAUGAAAACAAUUCCCUCUGUCACAGGGUUGUGGCUAGCUACCAGAGAACCAGUAGGACCCAGCAGAAGAUCAGGAGUGAGAGAAUAGACUUGAUGUCAAGAAGCAAUCGAAUUCAUUUGUUGAAAAAGAAGACAUACAAUGACAUUGAAAAAGAAAACACCCAGAAGAUGAGAUAUAUGUUUCUGCUGCCACAACGACAGAUUCCAGAACUGAUGAGUGAUGGAUAAAAUGGCAGCUCAAAAUGACAGGCUUCAAAAAUCACAAGAAAUAUGCUGAAUAUUAUUCCCUUGGUACCUUAGCAGCCAUCAGCUGUUUUUUCUUCUUCCCCUUUUUCUUUUUCUUCCAACAGCUGGAAAUCUAGAAGGGGGUGGGGGUGGGAAUUAAAUGCAUACAUGGAAAUGGAAGGUAGAAAGGUUAAUUUUAGACAAGGCAACAGAGUGUUCAGUUUUCUUACAAAAAGUAAGGAAUGCUUCAGUUAAGUUCUAUCCCGCUUGUCUUUCUCUGCUCUCUUUCUGUUAAUUUAUUUUACAUACACACAAGAAUUUAGGAGAAUCUAGCAAGGUAUCUUGAUGUGAACUCUAUAUGAACAAUAUUAUAGGAAGUACAGACUCUAUUUUUCAUAUCAUACACGUGUGAAGAUAGAAGGCUUGUACAUUAAUAAAGACUUAUUGAAGGAAGAUUAUAUUGCCAAAGAAUGCAUGAAGAUGUAACACAUUAUAGCGAACUGGUAUUUUACACAUUCAGUCCACUAAUAGUAGUCAGCAGGGAAACAUUACCAAGUUAAUUACAGUCUGCUGUUUCUGAUGGUGUAGAAGCAAGCUAUUUUUAUUAUUUUCCCAUUGCACAACUUAUUUUCUGGGACACAGAACAUACAUAGACAAGACACGUUUUGAAUCCAGAGUGCCUCUACAAAAUUAAUUUAGAUUCCUUACACUUUGGACUAUUUGGAAGGUGGAAUACCAACAAGGCAAUUCUAAGGAUCUUUUGAAUUACUUCUUAUUUUAAGUCUCUUGGUUGCUAAAACCGCCAGGAUUUUUCAAUCCAGAUUUUGAAUGAUUGUAGUGACACUAAAACUCAUUGAAACUGUUCACAAGAGCAGCCCUACCCAGGAUUGGGCAGACCUACCUGGAAGUGGCUGGAUUGCAGCCCAUCCCGGGGUUGCCCCUCCAGGUAGCCCAGGAAUUUCCCCCAGACUUUUACCUGGGUACAAGACUGCAAGUGUGCCCUUGUACACAGGUCCCCAGUCAUUUGUCUGCUCAGACUUCAGGCAGCCCAAGCAGACACAGAGCUGGGCAGAGUGCCCGGUUUGAGGGGAAAUCCUUCAAUGCACUGCACUCCUUGCUCAGUGCAUAUCUGGAGGCCAGGCUGCAUUUUUCUGGCCUCCAGAUAGCCACAAAGCUCCCGGGAGAGCCACUCAUGUGGGAGUUCAAGCUGCACAGCCAGAAGAACAAAAGAGAUUGUUGGGGGGGGGUUAAGGAACAAUCCUGCCUCCCCCCACCCCGCUCACCCCACUGGCUCUACAGUCAUGUGAACAACCUUUUUAUCAAAUAUUUCUUGUCAGCUGAAUCUUACGUACCUAAAUCCAAGUUUUUUGGCUUAUGGUGAGCACAUGCACAUGGAGGCUUAAGAAAACAACUUCUUCAUUAUGAGCCCCUCCGCCCAUGGAGGUCGUCUGGAGAGGUCUGUUUCCAGUUGCCGCCAGCUCGGCUGGUGGCCACAUGAGGGUGGGCCUUCUCGGUUGCUGCCUUGAGAUUGUGGAAUGCACUCCCUACUGAAAUACGAUCCUCCCCAUCUCUGAAAUUUUUUUGAAAGCAUUUGAAAACUCACCUCUUCACCUAAGCUUUUUCAGCUUUUUAAAUUUUUAGGUUUUAAUCUGUGUUUGAUUUUAAAUUAUCUACAUUGUUUUAAGUUUUUGUGUAUGUUUUAAACUUGUUUUUAUGUUAUUGUUAACCACCCAGUGACAAAAGUUUGGGGCAGUGUACAAAUCUGAUUAAUCUGAUUCUCUUGUAAACCGCCCUGAGCCAUUUUUGGAAGGGCGGUAUAGAAAUCGAAUUAUUAUUAUUAUUAUUAUUAUUAUUAUUAUUAUUAUUAUUAUUUAAAAUAAAAUAAUAGGGUUCACA